AGUUGGAAGUGAGGAUCUAGGC
rnacentral:miRNA from 1 species